AGAGUUUGAUCCUGGCUCAGAUCGAACGCUGGCGGCGUGGCUAAAGCAUGCAAGUCGUACGCGAAAGUUCCUUCGGGAACGAGUAGAGUGGCGAAAGGGCGAGGAAUACAUGGGUAACGUACCCCCGGCACAGGGAUAGCCGCGGGAAACCGCGGGUAAUACCUGAUAUGACCACAGCAUCACAGGAUGCAGCGGUAAAAGGGUGGGGACCUUCGGGCCUACCGGCCAGGGAGCGGCCCAUGACCUAUCAGCUUGUUGGUGAGGUAACAGCUCACCAAGGCGACGACGGGUACCGGGGCUGAGAGGCUGACCCGGCGCAUUGGGACUGAGACACUGCCCAGACUCCUACGGGAGGCUGCAGCGACGAAUAUUGCACAAUGGGCGAAAGCCUGAUGCAGCGACGCCGCGUGUGGGAGGAAGCCCUUCGGGGUGUAAACCACUGUCAGGGACUAACAAGCGACCGAGACGAAUAGUCUCGGAAGUUGAGUAAUCCCAGAGGAAGUCACGGCUAACUUCGUGCCAGCAGCCGCGGUAAGACGAAGGUGGCAAGCGUUGUUCGGAAUCACUGGGCUUAAAGAGCAUGUAGGCGGACUGCCAAGCACUUUGUGAAAUCCCUCGGCUCAACCGAGGAAUUGCUUGGUGAACUGGUAGUCUUGAGGCAGGUAGGGGCACACGGAACUCUUGGUGGAGCGGUGGAAUGCGUAGAUAUGCGGAGGAACACCAGUGGCGAAGGCGGCACUCUGGGGCCUAACUGACGCUGAGGCGCGAAAGCAUGGGUAGCGAACGGGAUUAGAAACCCCGGUAGUCCAUGCCGUAAACGAUGUGUACUAGACGUUCGAGUGACUACGGUUGUUUGAGUGUCGAAGCCAACGCGCUAAGUACACCGCCUGGGGAGUACGGUCGCAAGGCUAAAACUCAAAGGAAUUGACGGGGGCCCGCACAAGCAGCGGAGCGUGUGGUUUAAUUCGAGGCUACGCGAAGAACCUUACCUGGGUUUGACAUGGCAGUGAAUGAAGCCGAAAGGUGGAAGUCCUUCGGGCGCUGUCACAGGUGCUGCAUGGCUGUCGUCAGCUCGUGUCGUGAGAUGUUCGGUUAAGUCCGAAAACGAGCGCAACCCCUAGGUUUAGUUACAAGUGUCUAAACCGACUGCCUGCGGCAAGCAGGAGGAAGGUGGGGAUGACGUCAAGUCAGCAUGGCCUUUAUAUCCAGGGCUACACACACGCUACAAUGGCGCGUACAGUAGGCAGCGAACUCGCGAGAGGGAGCCAAUCCUGCAAAGCGCGUCGUAGUUCGGAUUGCAGGCUGCAACUCGCCUGCAUGAAGUCGGAGUUGCUAGUAACCGCAGGUCAGCACACUGCGGUGAAUACGUUCCCGGGCCUUGUACACACCGCCCGUCACGUCAUGGGAGCUGGUCACGCCUGAAGUCGGGAAGCUAACCGCAAGGGGGCUACCGCCGAAGGCAGGGCUGGUGACUGGGACGAAGUCGUAACAAGGUAACC
rnacentral:rRNA from 1 species